rnacentral:rRNA from 1 species
GACGAACGCUGGCGGCGUGCCUAAUACAUGCAAGUAGAACGCUGAAGCGAGGAGCUUGCUCUUCUUGGAUGAGUUGCGAACGGGUGAGUAACGCGUAGGUAACCUGCCUGUUAGCGGGGGAUAACUAUUGGAAACGAUAGCUAAUACCGCAUAAAAUGGAUUAUCGCAUGAUAAUCCAUUUAAAGGUGCAAAUGCAUCACUACCAGAUGGACCUACGUUGUAUUAGCUAGUUGGGGGGGUAACGGCUCACCAAGGCGACGAUACAUAGCCGACCUGAGAGGAGGACCGGCCAAACGGGAACGGGAAAACGGCCAAGACUCCUAGGGGAGGAGCCAGAGGGGAAUAUUGGAAAAUGGGGGAAAGCUGGACGAGGCAAGACGGGGGGGGGGAGGAAGGUUUUGGGUCGGUAAGCUCUGUUGGUAGGGAAGAAAAAGUGUGAGAGUGAAAAGUUCAUACUGUGACGGUACCUUAACAGAAAGGGACGGCUAACUACGUG